GCCACUAUUGUCAACAGAAUAUUCAAACUCUUUCAAAAUCAUUUUCUCUCUUCAACACAAAACAGCAGGAGAUCGUGAGAAUUUUGAAGAUUUUAGCAGAUUAUAAAGCUUCAACAAUUAUGGAAGGCUCCAAUAAUAACUUCAAAUUAAUGGCAGCAAACAAAGUUUUUUUUUUCUUUAAAACUAUUGCAAAGAUGUGUCAUUUUUGAUAUAUAAAUUGUGUAAUUGAAUGGGUGCUUAUGUGAAUAGGUAUCUACCCAAUAGUUAUGUUGUUUUGUAAUUUUUUUUGAAAUGGAUAGUUUAUGUGUAA